UGUGCGCUGCGCGCUGAGGUAGUUGGUUGUAUGGUUUCGAAUAAUAACCCCCCCGGAGAUAACUGUACAACCUUCUAGCUUUCCGCGCGGCGUCAC
ensembl:miRNA